UCAGGAGCAGAAGUGAAGUCAGUCUUUGCUGAAAUUCCAUGCCGUAAUCGUCCCGUUCCUCGGAAGCCAAAGAAUUCAGACGGCAAAGCAGAUGGAUUUGUGUUGCUGAGUUAUGUCUGAAAGUGGCUCGAGACUGAGCGGGGAUAUCGGCACUUCAUCAGCACCACAAGAAAUCUUUCUUUUAAAGAGUUGCAUCAGUGCCGGGUGCGUCACCAUGGGUUUGUUAAUGAAACGGGUGUUUUUAUUGAUCGUUUGUAAUGAUACAGUGUGGGAUAGAGCUGACACUUACAAGUUGAAGGUGUUUUA
ensembl:processed_transcript